UGUAAGCGUAUAUUUAAGUUGCUGCAGUUAAAAAGCUCGUAGUUGGAUUUCGGGUGGGAAUGGCCGGUCCGCCGUUUCGGUGUGCACUUGCUACGCCCACCUUGCUGCCGGGGACGUGCUCUUGAGUUCACGCUCGGGACACGGAGUCGGCGAGGUUACUUUGAGUAAAUUAGAGUGUUCAAAGCAGGCCUACGCUCUGAAUACAUUAGCAUGGAAUAACACGAUAGGACUCUGGCCUAUCUUGUUGGUCUGUAGGACCGGAGUAAUGAUUAAGAGGGACAGUCGGGGGCAUUCGUAUUUCAUUGUCAGAGGUGAAAUUCUUGGAUUUAUGAAAGACGAACUACUGCGAAAGCAUUUGCCAAGGAUGUUUUCAUUAA
rnacentral:rRNA from 1 species